rnacentral:rRNA from 1 species
AUGCUGUACAUGGGGAUCGGGGUGGUUGACGGGGGUGGCAGUUCUAGUUCUUCUACUCCCCUUCUUCUACUACAGCAAUACGCACGCCUGCGCGUUGCACAUCCGUCGUGGCAACUCACUGUCCAGCGACAGGUCGCCAAGAUUGUUCCUGCCACUGCUAUCCCUGAUGGUUGGAUGGGUCUCGAUGUUGGCCCAGAUUGCAUCAAGACUUUCGCCGAAGCCUUGGACACCGCCAAGACUGUUAUCUGGAACGGUCCUAUGGGAGUCUUCGAGUUUGAGAAGUUUUCCGCAGGCACUGAUGCAAUCGCGAAGCAGUUGGCUGAGCUUACUGGGAAGGGUGUGACGACCAUCAUCGGUGGAGGUGACUCUGUUGCUGCUGUUGAGAAGGCUGGGCUGGCCGACAAUAUGAGCCACAUUUAG